UACGAAGGGUGCAAGCGUUACUCGGGAUUACUGGGCGUAAAGGGUGCGUAGGUGGUUUUUUAAGUCCGUUGUGAAAUCCCUGGGCUCAACCUGGGAAUGGCAGUGGAUACUGGAAAGCUAGAGUGCGGUAGAGGGUAGUGGAAUUCCCGGUGUAGCAGUGAAAUGCGUAGAGAUUGGGAGGAACACCAGUGGCGAAGGCGGCUACCUGGACCAGCACUGACACUGAGGCACGAAAGCGUGGGGAGCAAACAGG
rnacentral:rRNA from 1 species